AAGAGUAUUGGACACCAGCAACACGGAAUUUCAUAAGAAUAACCUUAGUAAAAUUAAGAAUAUUUUACUCAAAAACGACUUCCCAUACAAGACGAUAAACCAUUUGAUAGACAACGUUUUAAAUAAGGAGAAUAGGGAAAAGAGCGAACCAUCGAGGAAAAUAUACCAAUCAGUGGAAUAUAUCUCAGGACUAUCCGAGAGAAUAAAACAUUCGGACAUAUAUGACAAAGAAAAAUAUACACUGGCAAUGAAGACGAAUAAUACAACAUAUAAAUUAUUUAAUAACAUGAAGUCCAAAUUAGAUAAACUAGAUAAAUCCAAUCUAGUGUAUGAAAUUAAAUGUAAUGGUGACGAAACCAACAUAUGCCAAAAGGUAUAUGUUGGUACAACGAAAACAAAACUGAGGACAAGAUUAUCAUCGCACAAAUCAGAUUUAAGAACACUUGACAAACCAUUAAAUCAAAAAACAGCCCUCGCUGCCCACUGUGCAAUAACUGGACACCAACCAGACUUUGAAAAAGUGAGAAUAUUAGCUGGAGAGAACAAUCACACAAAACGUUACUUACAAGAGAUGCUCCACAUUAUAAAUACACCAACAGAAAAGAGAAUAAAUUACAAAACAGAUACUGACAACUGCGCUCACAUUUAUCGACAUACAAUAAAUAAAUACAGAAACAAUAAACAAAAGAAUAAAAUCAAAACAGUCAGUCAUAGAAGAUCAAAACAUAAACAACAGACGACACUGCAUUAAAAUUAAAUAACUUUCCCUGAAGAUGACCAACGAAGUUGGUCGAAAUAUUGGAAACCACAAUAAAUAUUAAUUAAACUAAGAACAAAAAAGAGUUUUUAAUUUUUAAUAUUUAUUUAAUGAAAAGACCUCAAGCCGAACAAACCCAACAUUUCUGAAAACAACCAAAAGGUCUAGAGAACAAAUAAACUAAC